rnacentral:pre_miRNA from 1 species
GACUGCAUACGUGUGGAUGGUGUUCAGCACCAGGGACAGGUAUGUUGACCUGUGCGUGGAUGGUAUUCAGCACUGGGGACUAGCAUGUUAACCU